UCGCUUGAUCAAGCUCGUCCAACGAAUCAACUAUCCGCGAGGAACACAGCUUCGACCACAACAUGAACAUUAAACGAUGGUUUCUUCUCGUGCUGUUAGCCGCGCUGCUGCUUAUCGGACAAUCUCAGGCUGCCCCCAGGAAAAAAUCGGGAAGAAUGUGUUCAGGGCUGCCCAGAAGGCACUGCCAGUCGUGGUCGGAUACAAAGCCCUAGGAUGAAGCACGGUGUCUGACACAUGAGCGUGAGGACUUCAAAUUGUGAUAUUUACUUAAGUUAUUAAGUUAGGCUGGUUCAAUUUUCGAAUGAUGCAUUUAAAUAAAAUUUACAAAUUGAAUAUAGUUUUCCUGAAAA